UACGUAGGGUGCGAGCGUUGUCCGGAAUUAUUGGGCGUAAAGGGCUCGUAGGCGGUCUGUCGACGUCGGGAGUGAAAACUCAGGGCUUAACCCUGAGCCUGCUUCCGAUACGGGCAGACUAGAGGUAUGCAGGGGAGAACGGAAUUCCUGGUGUAGCGGUGAAAUGCGCAGAUAUCAGGAGGAACACCGGUGGCGAAGGCGGUCUCUGGGCAUUACCUGACGCUGAGGAGCGAAAGUGUGGGGAGCGAACAGG
rnacentral:rRNA from 1 species